rnacentral:hammerhead_ribozyme from 1 species
AUCCAGAUGACGAGUCCGAAGUGAGACGAAACGCGCGUCAAACUGGAU